AUUGAACGCUGGCGGCAGGCUUAACACAUGCAAGUCGAGCGGGGUGAUGGUGCUUGCACUAUCACUUAGCGGCGGACGGGUGAGUAAUGCUUAGGAAUCUGCCUAUUAGUGGGGGACAACAUCUCGAAAGGGAUGCUAAUACCGCAUACGUCCUACGAGAGAAAGCAGGGGAUCACUUGUGACCUUGCGCUAAUAAAUGAGCCUAAGUCGGAUUAGCUAGUUGGUGGGGUAAAGGCCUACCAAGGCGACGAUGUGUAGCGGGUCUGAGAGGAUGAUCCGCCACACUGGGGCUGAGACACGGCCAAGACUCCUACGGGAGGCAGCGGUGGGGAAGAUUGGACAAUGGGGGAAACCCUGAUCCAGCCAUGCCGCGUGAGUGAAGAAGGCCUUCGGGUUGUAAAGCUCUUUCAGACGGAAAGAAAUCUUCCGGGCUAAUACCUCGGGAGGAUGACGGUACCGUAAGAAGAAGCACCGGCUAACUACGUGCCAGCAGCCGCCGUAA
rnacentral:rRNA from 1 species